UUCCCAUACUUUUCUUUUUCCUGGUUCAUACACACGCCUUAUAGAAACCCGCGUGGAUGAAUUUUUGGGCGGCCAAUUCUUGCGUUCGAAUUUUGAAUUCCCGCUGCACAUCCCAAUCACGGUUAUCAUGCCUUUUCCAUUUUCUUUUCAUUUGCAUAUAGAGAGAGUGAGAGCGAAAAGAGAGAGAGGGGUCGGAGAGUCUCUAGAGGAAAGGAAGUCCAGCAAGGUUUUUGGUUGGCGACCGCAGAGGAAAGGAAGUCCGGCAAGGUUUUUGGUUGGCGACCAGCGAUAGUGGCGGCUAGGGUUUCAAGCCGAUUUUCUCAGGUGGCGGCAGGAACAAAAUAGGCGGCAGCUAGGGUUCCGACCACCCUUAUUCACAGCGCAUGCCUUUUUUUUCUUGUAGAUCGACUACUUAAGUAGUUGAACCUGAUUUGGUGACAUGGACCAACCGAUUACUGGUAUUGCUACAACGUUGCUUCUGGUAAUAUUUGAAAUUAAUGUCAACCAGAGCGUAUUAGAAGGAGUGGGUAAAGAAGAAGAAAAGAUCAUUCAAUGGUGGUUCUAGGUUUUCAUUGAAACAAAAGACCAAAGAUGAGAAUGGGGAACCUGUUAUUACUUUUUCUUUUGAAUUUUAUGAACUAAAUUAUUCAUUUUUUUGGUUUCUUGUAUAAGCAAGAUUUUAAUUGCUUUUAAUUUGGUUGUUAGUUCAUGUGAAUUUGCUGAUAAUGAGUUAAAUUAUUGUUUGCACAGGAACUAGACAUGGAUUCACUUCCAAGGAACAAGCAUGAGUUAACUGUCAUCUUGAAGGAUGUUACAUCAAACAGAAAUAAUGGAAACACUAGCCUGGGCCAGUGGUGGAUUUUCUUAUCAACAACCAAAAUGUGAAAGAUCCUUACUCAAUUGACUGAGCUAAGGCAAAGCGGACCCUAAAAAACCUUAGGGUGAAGGCCAGCCCGACUAAUACAGAGUACAAGAUUACUGGUCCGAGUGAGAAGCCCUGCAACGAACAACUCUGCCCAGAUAUGAACUACUUUGUGCCGGUUCCUUUUACCACUAAUUUUCUGAAUUCGGUAUGAAGCUGCCCAGAUGUACCUGAUCUGCUUAAUCGGUUUAUGUCAAGAGCAAGAACUGGAAGCAAGUACAACACAACCUAUAUUUGUUGAUUCAAGUAUGAGUGAAGUGUGCACGCAUCCUUAAAUGUGUCCUAGCUUGGCUAUGGUCAGCCAAUAUAUGUAGCAGAGCUAAAAGAAAACGGAGGAAACAUCAAGAAAUUCAGUAGCAUCAUUCACUUAUUUAAGCUGAAAACGUGAUAUGCUGACCAGUUGUGCUCAGAUCAUGCCAUGCUUCUUAUAUUAAAAAUUUGUUUGUACCGCUGACCUGUCGGGAGUGGUGCUCAGGUGAUGCAAGGUAGCGGCUAGGGCUCUACUAGGAUUCGGUGUCAGCUAUGGUUGUGCUAAUGACAAGUUCAUAUCAAUAUCAAUGGUCAAGAUCCAACUCUUGAUUCUCUUGUUAAGUUGACAAGCUUUUUGAUUAUUUAUGAUUUUACUGUCUUGUAGUUUACAUUUGUUUCAUGUAUUAAUCAAAUUGACACUUUGUUUCAUGUAUUAAUCAAUCGUGACGUUUGUGACAUUA